AGCAGUAUGGUGUAUUGAAGCACAUGGGGUUUUACUAAAAGCCAAAUGCAACACCUAGCCCCGAGGUCCUUGUUCGAACCAAGGUGCUGCUC